rnacentral:rRNA from 1 species
GACGAACGCUGGCGGCGUGCCUAAUACAUGCAAGUCGAACGCAUUUUCUUUCACCGUACCUUGCUACAACGAAAGAAAAUCAGGGGCGAACCGGGGAGUAACUCUUCCUUAAACCGCGCAUCAACGGGGGAUAACACUUGCAAAUAGCUCAUAAUACCGCUUAAUUCCAUUUAUCGCAUGGAAGAUAGAUGAAGGAUGCUUUUAAGUCGCUCACGCAUUGACUUGCGGUGGAUUAGCUAGUUGGUGGGGUAAAGGCCUACCAAGGUUGCGAUGCAUAGCCGACCUGAGAGGGUGAUCGGCCACAUUGGGACUGAGACACGGCCCAAACUCCUACGAGAGGCAGCAGUAGGGAAUCUUCGGCAAUAGACGAAAGUCUGACCGAGCAACGCCGCGUGAGUGAAGAAGGUUUUCGGAUCGUAAAACUCUGUUGUUAGAGAAGAACAAGGAUGAGAGUGGAAAGCUCAUCACUUGACGGUAUCUAACCAGAAAGCGACGGCUAACUACGUG